UUCUCACGAGAGGCUGAAACAAAAAUUGGAGGGAAAAUCUGUCAAAGUGUAUUUCUUUUUAAAAUAAGAAGAUGCAAACUAAGAACAUCACCAGAACAAGAAAUACUCUUUCAUAUUAAGCCAAACUAAGGAUCUUUGAGGACAACCAUGCCAAUUCAGGAAGGAAAAUCAAUCAAGGAAAAAAUUACAACAGAAACUAGAUAUUCAUG
rnacentral:misc_RNA from 1 species